UUUGAUCUGCAUAGCACAUCCAGGAAUAACCAAUUUCUUCCUUAAUCAUGUGAGUGCCCAGGACAAAACAAUCUUCUAGUUCAUUGGUGAGCAACCCUUCUGAAGCUCCUACAAAGAGAAAAUUUAGAAUUUUAACCCAGAGCACAUAGUUGCAAUGAUUAAGCAAACUGGAACACUCUCAAAUGCUUAGUAAGCUCUACUUUCAAGAACCAUAUACAAAAUCAAUGAAUAGAAGGCUGAGUGAACUAAACAGAAUUUGGUUAAAGCUGUCACACUACAAUUAGAAAAGCAUAUCCGUAGCAGGUGAACCUCAAAAUUUAUAUACAGCCAACCUGACCGCACAAACGCACCGGUUCAUGGAAUAUGUACCAAGACCUAAUCAAGCAAGCCAAUAGGAAACCUAACCUUGUUGGUAAACAGCACACACAUCCAACAAAAUCAACAAAGAACCUGCACACGAAAAGGAACAUGAAACAAAAAAAUGUCUCAGCCCACACACAUUUUAUCAAACAGGAUUCAGGAGACAAGCAGAAAAGAUCUUAGCUCCGAGUGCAAAUAACCAACUGAUGUGAUCGCAUACCCGAGCAGCAAGCCACCAACGAAACAAACAAGCCUGUAAAUCCAUCAGAUUGCUGAAGAGGUAAUGUUCAUUCACAAAUAACCUAAUUUUGCUUUGGUAGGGCAGCAGGCAAG
rnacentral:lncRNA from 1 species